CACACGGAGGUAGAGCACUAGAUGGGCUAGGGGUCCUACCAGACUACCAAACCCAACGAAACUCCGAAUACCGUGACAACUAGCCUGGGAGCCAGGCAGUGGGAGCUAAGUUCCAUUGCCGAGAGGGAAAGAGCCCAGAUCGUCAGCUAAGGUCCCUAAGUCCAUGCUAAGUGGCGAAGGAUGUGGGAGCGCUUUGACAACCAGGAGGUUUGCUUAGAAGCAGCAAUCCUUUAAAGAAAGCGUAAUAGCUCACUGGUCAAGCGAGCCUGCGCCAAAAAUGUAACGGGGCUUAAGCAUGGCACCGAAGCUACGGGUUCAAGAAUCCUUCGGGAUUCGAGAGCGGUAGGCGAGCAUUCCAAGGACAGCGAAGCUAGACCGUAAGGACUGGUGGAGUGCUUGGAAGAGAUAAUGCAGGCUUGAGUAGCGAUAAAACGGGUGAAAAACCCGUUCGCCGUAAGCCCAAGGGUUCCUGGGUAAAGUUAAUCUUCCCAGGGUUAGUCGGAACCUAAGGCGAGGCCGAUAGGCGUAGCUGAUGGCAAGCAGGUUAAUAUUCCUGCACCGGCACGGAUGGUUUCCACAGGAGGGACGGAGAAGGGUAGGUCAGCCCCAGAUUGGAUUGUGGGGUUCAAACCUGUAGGAGGCUCUGCUAGGACCCAAUAGGGACAAACGGCAGGGCAUUAACUCCGAGAGGCAACGAGGAGAGCGCUUUGCGCUCACGAACUGACUAAUCCCACGCUUCCAAGAAAAUCUCCGGUGGAGUUAACCGCUGUGCUGUCCGUACCGUAAACCAACUCAGGCGGGCGGGAAGAAUAUUCCAAGGCGCUUGAGAGAACCCAUCCUAAGGAACUCGGCAAAAUUCUACCGUAACUUCGGGAGAAGGUAGGCCGGCGACCGUCAGAAGCUUCGCGCUUCGAAGCGGUUGUUGGUUGCAGAGAAUCGGGGGUAGCGACUGUUUACCAAAAACACAGGACUCUGCGAACGCGGAAGCGGACGUAUAGGGUCUGAUGCCUGCCCGGUGCUGGAAGGUUAAGGGGAGAUGUCAGUCGCAAGACGAAGCAUCGAACCGAAGCCCCAGUAAACGGCGGCCGUAACAAUAACGGUCCUAAGGUAGCGAAAUUCCUUGUCGGGUAAGUUCCGACCUGCACGAAUGGCAUAACGACUUCCCCACUGUCUCGGGAUGGGACUCAGUGAAGUAGCACUAGGGGUGAAGAUACCCUUUACCUGCGGCAAGACGGAAAGACCCCAUGAACCUUCACUGUAACUUGGCACUGAACUUCGGGCUUAAUUGCGUAGGAUAGGUGGGAGGCUUUGAACCGGGGAUUUUGGUUUCCGGGGAGCCACCGUUGAAAUACCACCCUGUUCAGUCUGGAGUUCUAACCUACGCC
rnacentral:rRNA from 1 species